rnacentral:rRNA from 1 species
CCGUGAAACUGCGAAUGGCUCAUUAAAUCAGUUAUCGUUUAUUUGAUAGUACCUUCCUACUUGGAUAACCGUGGUAAUUCUAGAGCUAAUACAUGCUAAAAACCCCGACUUCGGGAGGGGUGUAUUUAUUAGAUAAAAAACCAAUGCCCUUCGGGGCUCCUUGGUGAAUCAUGAUAACUCAACGGAUCGCAUGGCCUUGCGCCGGCGACGGUUCAUUCAAAUUUCUGCCCUAUCAACUUUCGAUUGUAGGGUAUUGGCCUACAAUGGUUUCAACGGGUAACGGGGAGUUAGGGCUCGACUCCGGAGAGGGAGCCUGAGAAACGGCUACCACAUCCAAGGAAGGCAGCAGGCGCGCAAAUUACCCAAUCCCGACACGGGGAGGUAGUGACAAUAAAUACUGAUACAGGGCUCUUUUGGGUCUUGUAAUUGGAAUGAGUACAAUUUAAAUACCUUAACGAGGAACAAUUGGAGGGCAAGUCUGGUGCCAGCAGCCGCGGUAAUUCCAGCUCCAAUAGCGUAUAUUAAAGUUGUUGCAGUUAAAAAGCUCGUAGUUGAACCUUGGGCCUGGCUGGCCGGUCCGCCUCACCGCGUGCACUGGUCCGGCCGGGCCUUUCCUUCUGGAGAGCCGCAUGCCCUUCACUGGGUGUGUCGGGGAACCAGGACUUUUACUUUGAGAAAAUUAGAGUGUUCAAAGCAGGCCUUUGCUCGAAUACGUUAGCAUGGAAUAAUAGAAUAGGACGUGCGGUCCUAUUUUGUUGGUUUCUAGGACCGCCGUAAUGAUUAAUAGGGAUAGUCGGGGGCAUCAGUAUUCAAUUGUCAGAGGUGAAAUUCU